GACACCUUGGUGGUGACUGUGACAUGGAAAUACGUAAAGGAGCACUCACACCCUCCAGUGGUAGAGUUGAGGUACCGCAUCCUGGGAGCCACAGACUGGACUCUGGUUGACAGCAGUUACCUGGGAUCCAAUCAUUAUGAAAUGAUGGACCCAGAGCCUUACACGGUCUAUGAAUUCCAGAUCCGAUACAUCCCAGACGAGCAUCAAAAAAGCAGAGGUCUGUGGAGUGAAAGUUUUCUGCUCACCACUCCAGAAAAAGUUCCUGUUGGGACACUGGAUGUAUGGAGGGACAUGGACCGGGAGAACUCUCUGCUUGUGACAUGGAAG